AUGUUCCGCCUCCCAAGAUCCACCCUUUCCGGCAUCCUCCUCUCUUCUUCCAUCUCCUCUCUCCACCGCUGCCUCCUCUCCGCCACCGUCGCCGGCUCCCGCAUCUCCCCAAGUCCUAGCUUCGCCGUGGAGGAGUACCUCGUGGACACCUGCGGCCUCACCCGACCCCAGGCCCUCAAGGCAUCCGCGAAGAUCUCCCACAUCAAGUCCCCCACCAAUCCCGACGCCGUGCUCGCUUUCCUCGCUGGCCUCGGCUUCUCCGGCGCCGAUGUCUCCGCCCUCAUCGCCAAGGACCCCAAGUUCCUCUGUGCCAGCGUCGGGCGAACCCUGUCGCCCAUUUUCGAGGAGCUCACCGGCCUCGGUCUUUCCCGUUCCGAGGUCGUCCGCCUCGUCUUGCUCACCGCCGGCGGCGGCCGUUUCCGUCGUACAUUUGUCGUCUCCAGGGUGCACUACUACCUGUCCCUCUUCGGCUCCUCCGAGAACCUCCUCCGCGCUCUCAAGGGCCGCUUUUGCUUUCUCGAUUCCGACCUCGAGAGGCGAGUGAAGCCCACUGUCACGCUCCUACAGGAGUGCCGGCUAGGUGCUUGCGAUAUUGCCAAGCUGUUAAUCGCUGUGCCCAGGAUGCUCACCACCAACACAGAGCACAUCCGGGUGAUGGUGGCAUGCGCCGAAGGCAUAGGUGUGCCCCGUGGCUCUGGGAUGUUCAGAGCAGCGCUGCAUGCUGUUGCAUUCCAAAGCGAGGAGGAGGUUGCUGCUAAAGUGGAGUACUUGAGGAACACGUUCAGUUGGUCACAUGCCGAGGUGGGCAUUGCUGUGUCCAAAUUCCCCCAUCUCCUGCGGUAUUCAAAGGACAGGCUGCAGUGCAUGUCCGAGUUCUUCAUCUCCGAGGCGGGGCUGGAACCGGCCUAUAUUGCUCAGCAGCCAGUAAUGCUCGGUUACAGUCUAGAGGGACGGCUCAGGCCCCGGUACUACGUUAUAAAGUUUCUCAAAGAAAAUGGAUUGCUCAAGCGCGUCCCGAAAUGCAGUACAAUUUUCCAUUAUGUCGAGAAGUUAUUCGUGGACAGGCACAUACACCCUCACAAAGAAGCUGCACCUCACCUUGCUGAAGACUAUGCUGCCGCCUGCAGAGGUGAAAUGCAGACUUGUUUCAGAUUUAUGAACCAAGAACGUAGUAUUUAA
rnacentral:rRNA from 1 species